rfam:Schistosoma mattheei strain Denwood, Zambia genome assembly, scaffold: SMTD_scaffold0003178
GGCCUUCUGUAUCCGUGCUGAGAUUUCGUCACACCAGACCGCAAAGGUUGAUGAAACUCCCAAGUGAAGCA